GAAGGAAAAUGUUCCUAUGUUCGUCGUCUGAACCAUUGAUUAGUAAAGCAAAUCUGUUGCCAUUUAAAACCGGUCAAUGCCAGUUUCUACAGACGGGCCAUUUUUUAUUGGUACAUUCUCACCUUACGUUAUGUUCUUCUUCGUUGCCUGCAUGCUUACUGGCAUCUGCAGACUGGUUGCUGUCAGCGCAUUUUUUGUUGCCCGGCUGCUGACUGCUCCGUUGCUUCCUUUCCUCAUCAUCGCCGUUACACUUUUUAUUGCCAGUAGUGGUUAUUGUUGUUGGCUCAACAAAGCUAAAGCAGGCAUUUAAGGAAUGACUACAGCUUUGCUGGUGAGGCUGUGAAGCACUCAUUAUUGUUUGUUUGAUUUUUUUGUUUCUACUUUUUGAUUUGUCCACCAUUUGUUUAUUUUUAUUAUUAUUAAUUUGUAUGCACUGUUCUUUAUAUGCUUUGUUUGUUUACAAUUUAAUAAAUCAUUUUUUUUUUUUAACUUUUGGAUUGAUUGUUAUUAUUUUUUUUGUAAAAACACAAUUCACGAUGCGAAUUAAAUAAACAUGUCCGUACACUUUAAACACUCUCUCGAAUUCAGUAUUUUCUUUCAUGAGACCAUAGAAAUGAUUGCCAAUGUGAUAAGCCCCAUUGGCCCAUGCUAAACCCUUUAUUAAAUUUACCAAGGAUACAAAAUUUUUACCGGUACUCUUGCUUUAAAACCAGGCAUUUUCACAACUUUUCUGGCUGUAUCACUGCAAAUCUGUAUUUGAAAUUUUUCAUUAAUUGCUAUCUGAGCACAUGUAAGGUGGGGUUUUUUAACCAAAUAUAUAACUUUACUUGUUUCCUGAUAUAUUAAUAUUAAUGGGCGAUGGGAAUGAGAUUUUGAUGUCAUGAGUCCUAUUGGCUUAGACAACCUAUCUAAUUGAAGACUCAGCUCUACCAACCAUUACUCCAAUUUCACGAUGUUUAAUACCUUUCUCCUAAUUUAAAAAUUGUUUUUGUUUUUCCACUCCGAUUUUUUUCGAGUUUUAUUCAUGGUUGCUAAUAUAAAUUUUUUAAAACCAAACAUAUUUCAAGACCGCAAAGUUGUAAGUUGACAACACAUGAUAUAAUAAAAGAGGGUAGGUCAUUCAUAAUUUUUAACAAUCAUAUUUAUAAUUAUAAACAUUUUCAAAUUCAGUUUAAAUCAGCAUUAGGCAAGAAAACCAUUUCUCCAUUAAAUUUUUCAAUUAAAAUUGUUGCUACAAUAAUAUUUUCUGUCAUAUUUUUGAUUACCCAACGUUAACAGUUUUAUAAUUGUGGUGGAUUGAGAUUACGAUGAAUAAUAAUAGUUGAACAUUUUUCAUCCGACGAUUACUUGAUGUCAUAGCAAGAUGUAUGUAUCUAGAUAAUUUUCUUUUUCAUUUUCAUAGAAUAAUUUAAAACACAUCUGGAUUACCUGACGACAAUUGCUAAUUGUCAAUUUCAUUAACUUCUAUAUUUUAAGUCGCCAAUGCAGCCCGAUUAUUGAGCCAGUUAUGAUCCAAACAAUUAAUUUCUACUUUCAGGAAUAUACUCUCAGUCAAUCAAAUUUGUUUCGUUUCUACAUUUUUCAAUAUCUAGAAAUUGUAUUAUAUCUGAGAGUGGUUCAGAUUCCAAGCGAUCUAAAUAUGUGCGGUUCAUAUGGUAUGAGGAAUCUCAUUGCCUUAAGGGAAGGGAAGAAUAUACGUGCUGUCGGCAAUCGCAGAUAGUGACAGCACCACUGAGAAGUUGUAGCUGAAGAAUUCUAUCGAGUUGACAGUCCUUGGCCGAAUAAAAAAACCGGUCCGUUCCGUUUACGUAAACCCAACUUGGAGCGCACCACCGACGACUUCAUCGUUGCUAUCUUUGUCAGUUUGCUACCGUUUGUUAUUGUGUGAAUAAACAUAAUUUAACAAUAAAUUAAAGAUUGAAUUAAAGUUAUUUUGUACUAUAUUAUGUGAAUUAAAUGCAUACAAACGAAUUUGUGAAGUAUUAGAGUUUAUAAAAGUGAACAAUAUAAUGUAAAAUAUAUUUUAAAUCGUACUUUAAA
rnacentral:lncRNA from 1 species